rnacentral:rRNA from 1 species
UACGAAGGGGGCUAGCGUUGCUCGGAAUGACUGGGCGUAAAGGGCGCGUAGGCGGCUCAUACAGUCAGAUGUGAAAUUCCUGGGCUUAACCUGGGGGCUGCAUUUGAUACGUGUGGGCUUGAGUGGGGAAGAGGGUCGUGGAAUUCCCAGUGUAGAGGUGAAAUUCGUAGAUAUCGGGAGGAACACCAGUGGCGAAGGCGGCGAUCUGGGUCGAUACUGACGCUGAGGUGCGAAAGCGUGGGGAGCAAACAGG